UGGGGAAUAUUGGACAAUGGGCGCAAGCCUGAUCCAGCAAUGCCGCGUGAGUGAUGAAGGCCUCGGGUUGUAAAGCUCUUUCGCACGCGAGGAUGAUGACGCUAGCGUGAGAAGAAGCCCCGGCUAACUUCGUGCCAGCAGCCGCGGUAAUACGAAGGGGGCGAGCGUUGUUCGGAUUUACUGGGCGUAAAGGGCGCGUAGGCGGCGAUGUAAGUCAGGCGUGAAAGCCCCGGGCUCAACCUGGGAAUUGCGCUUGGGACUACAUUGCUGGAGUUCGGGAGAGGAGCGUGGAAUUCCCAGUGUAGAGGUGAAAUUCGUAGAUAUUGGGAAGAACACCGGUGGCGAAGGCGGCGCUCUGGACCGAUACUGACGCUGAGGCGCGAAAGCGUGGGGAGCAAACAGGAUUAGAUACCCCAGUAGUCCUG
rnacentral:rRNA from 1 species